rnacentral:rRNA from 1 species
AACGAACGCUGGCGGCAUGCCUAACACAUGCAAGUCGAACGAGACCUUCGGGUCUAGUGGCGCACGGGUGCGUAACGCGUGGGAACCUGCCCUUAGGUUCGGAAUAACUCCCCGAAAGGGGUGCUAAUACCGGAUAAUGUCUUCGGACCAAAGAUUUAUCGCCUUUGGAUGGGCCCGCGUUGGAUUAGCUAGUUGGUAGGGUAAAAGCCUACCAAGGCGACGAUCCAUAGCUGGUCUGAGAGGAUGAUCAGCCACACUGGGACUGAGACACGGCCCAGACUCCUACGGGAGGCAGCAGUGGGGAAUAUUGGACAAUGGGCUAAAGCCUGAUCCAGCAAUGCCGCGUGAGUGAUGAAGGCCUUAGGGUUGUAAAGCUCUUUUAACCGGGAUGAUAAUGACAGUACCGGGAGAAUAAGCUCCGGCUAACUCCGUG